CAGAUUGCUGCAAUACAGCUUCCCACCACGAGCGGCAGCAUUCCGUCAAUUAGACCAGGUGAGCGCCAAAAUAAAUGGCGUAGAGCAAAACAUUUGAUUCACAACGCUCGCAAACACUUUAGCGGGCUCCUUUAGAAUGAACCGAUGGUUUGUUAUUGAUCACCGACUUGGAAAAUACUUUGUCCAUCCUGAUAUAUCUUCAAGAAGUCUACCUUGCCUUGACUGCUGAUGUUAUUGCUGAAGUCCAAGGCCAGUCAUGGGCAUCUGGAACGCCAUGUGUGUAGUCUCCCAUCAGCUCCUGCAGUCUCAGGAAAAAAAAGAAGUUUGUUAAGGUCUCAGUGUGCGUAAUUUGGAUAACUUCUAGUUUUGUAUGUAUGUGUUCAUGUUCACAUCUCUUUUUUUAGUGGAAAUAAAUUGUUGAUUUGUUUAAUUCCAGACACUAACAUAAAGCAUAAGCCUCUUAAUUUAAACAUUUUGAGUUUUUGCACAGUUUCUGAAGUCAGGGUCCUGGAUUUAGAAACACUUUGUGGCUAGAAUUCUACUUUUGGGGUAUUCUUUUAGUAGUAAAAGCUAUGUCUUUAAAUCCCCCCCUUAAACUCCACAGCCCAGAAAAUCUGUGGCUAACAAGGCAGACUUGCAAGCUUGAAGCAUCUGCAUCUAUUAGAGAGAAGAAUCCAAAGCAUUGGAGUAAGGAUUAGGAGGAAAGGUGAAGAGAAGGGGAAAUCAUUCAGGAUUUAUUUGCCUUCUAGCCAUAAAAUGGAUGUAAAACCUGCAUGCUGUAGCCACUUGAAAGUUGUUGUCAGUAAGCCUGACUCAGCGUGGCUCGUAGUACCUAAAAGUUUGAUGUAAUUUGUCUAGUGAAAUGCAACUAGAAGUUCAUUUCCCCCAACUUCUGAUAGACUAUAAUUUCCAAAUCAUAAGAAAACAUGAGAUGUAACAUGAAUGAUCUUGAAAAAUAAAUUAUAGCAGCGAAUAACAGACAUAGACUCGAAAAAUAUAUACUCCUACUGUAAUAUAAUAAAACAAUUAUUUAAAAAAGGAUUUUGUAUAAAUCAUGUACAAAGUACACUCAGCCAAAAACGCACCUCUUUGCACUGGCUUUUAACACUAGUUGAACAUAACAUAUACUUGCACUAUAUUUUUCUGUAUUAUUGUGUUGCACUGUUGGAGAAA